GAUGAAGAACGUAGCGAAAUGCGAUAAGUAAUGUGAAUUGCAGAAUUCAGUGAAUCAUCGAAUCUUCGAACGCACCUUGCGCCCUUUGGCUAUUCCGAAGGGCAUGCCUGUUUGAGUAUCAUGAACACCUCAACUCUCAUGGUUUGCCAUGAUGAGCUUGGACUUUGGGGGUCUUGCCGGCCUAUGGGUCGGCUCCUCUCAAAUUAAUCAGCUUGCCAGUGUUUGGUGGCAUCACAGGUGUGAUAACUAUCUACGCUUGUGGUUUUCCAUCAGGUAACCUUCAGUGAUGGAGGUUCGCUGGGGCUCAUAAAUGUCUCUCCUCAGUGAGGACAGCUUUUUUGAACGUUUGAUCUCAAAUCAGGUAGGACUACCCGCUGAACUUAAGCAUAUCAAUAAGCGGAGGA
rnacentral:misc_RNA from 1 species